AUUGAACGCUGGCGGCAGGCCUAACACAUGCAAGUCGAGCGAGCGGCGGACGGGUGAGUAAUGUCUGGGAAACUGCCUGAUGGAGGGGGAUAACUACUGGAAACGGUAGCUAAUACCGCAUACCAUCAGAUGUGCCCAGAUAGGAUUAGCUAGUAGGUGGGGUAACGGCUCACCUAGGCGACGAUCCCUAGCUGGUCUGAGAGAAUGACCAGCAACACUUGAACUGAGACACGGUGCAGACUCCUACUGGAGGCAGCAGUGGGGAAUAUUGCACAAAGGGGGCAAGCCUGAUGCAGCCAUGCCGCGUGUAUGAAGAAGGCCUUCGGGUUGUAAAGUACUUUCAGCGAGGAGACGUUACUCGCAGAAGAAGCACCGGCUAACUCCGUGCCAGCAGCCGCGGUAAUAC
rnacentral:rRNA from 1 species